rnacentral:rRNA from 1 species
UACGUAGGGGGCAAGCGUUGUCCGGAUUUAUUGGGCGUAAAGAGCGUGUAGGCGGCCAGACAGGUCCGUUGUGAAAACUCGAGGCUCAACCUCGAGACGCCGAUGGAAACCGUCUGGCUAGAGUCCGGAAGAGGAGAGUGGAAUUCCUGGUGUAGCGGUGAAAUGCGCAGAUAUCAGGAAGAACACCCGUGGCUAAGGCGGCUCUCUGGGACGGUACUGACGCUGAGACGCGAAAGCGUGGGGAGCAAACAGG